AGGUCCUGAUUUAAGAUUGAAGGAAAGGAAGACUCUUUCUGGCAGUUGGAAGAAACGGGGAGUGACCGUUAGGUGAUACCUACGGUUCCAAAGUACCCGGCAAACUUCACCAAGUACAAGACCUCCGACGCCUCCAAACACAGAGCGACACCCAGAUCAAAGGCUCCGUGGCGACUGCCGAAGGAUGAAAAACGGAUACACAUCUCCGACGUCGUCAUCUCCGCCGUCGCCGCCGUCGCCUCUUCCGGUCAGCGUAGGAGCUGGCAACCGCAGCUACUUCUUCUCCUCCUCGCCGUCUCCGUCGCCGCCCUUCUCCUCCUCUCCGUCGCCCAAUGUCUCCGCCGACAACCUGCCGCUUCUCCUGCAUCGCCGGCCCGCCCCCUCCGCCUUCUCCCUCGACCGACCAGACCUCCCCGAAGAUGAUCAAUCGGGGUCCGGCAGCUCGUGCCUAAGACAAUGGUUGGAAUGGCUGGUGUUGAGAUGCUGCAGUUGCUCAUCUUGGUUGGCCUGAAACUUCCGCCGGCCGGUAUCGCCAUUGAAGCGCCGCCCAAGCUACUAACAGCUGGAUCGAGCGAGCUAGCUAGCUACUACUUCAUGUUAAGAUGAUCAUCAUCAAUAAUAUUGUCACCAACACUGUAACACUUUAUAGGCCAUCAAUCAAGUUGCAAGUGAUUCAUAUGUGCUUGGCGAUUCUAAAAUAUAGAUUUCGUUAAUGUUACAUGAAACAAAGUGAGAUCAUUUCAAUC